AUUGAACGCUGGCGGCAUGCCUUACACAUGCAAGUCGAACGGUAACAGGUCUUCGGAUGCUGACGAGUGGCGAACGGGUGAGUAAUACAUCGGAACGUGCCUAGUAGUGGGGGAUAACUACUCGAAAGAGUGGCUAAUACCGCAUGAGAUCUACGGAUGAAAGCAGGGGAUCGCAAGACCUUGUGCUACUAGAGCGGCCGAUGGCAGAUUAGGUAGUUGGUGGGAUAAAAUCUUACCAAGCCGACGAUCUGUAGCUGGUCUGAGAGGACGAUCAGCCACACUGGGACUGAGAAACGGCCCAGACUCCUACGGGAGGAAGCAGUGGGGAAUUUUGGACAAUGGGCGCAAGCCUGAUCCAGCAAUGCCGCGUGCAGGAUGAAGGCCUUCGGGUUGUAAACUGCUUUUGUACGGAACGAAAAGCCCCGGGUUAAUACCCUGGGGUCAUGACGGUACCGUAAGAAUAAGCACCGGCUAACUACGUGCCAGCAGCCGCAGUAA
rnacentral:rRNA from 1 species